AUGGCGUCGUCCUCAACCUCCCGCUCGCCGCACGCCCAUCUUCCGUCGUGCUGCGUGCGCCACUGCGCUCGUUGCGCCUCCGCGUACAGUGACCUAGGAAGGCCUUGCGGUGCCUCUGCUCGCCAACCGACGGCGCCAUGGAUGGCGACAACGCCAACAUGCACCUCCGUAGGCUGCUCCGGCGAUCCUCGCCACUGCUGGCGAGCAGCACUAGCAGAAGCGCCGAUCGAGCCUCCCAUAUUCCCUGCUCCUUCCC
rnacentral:lncRNA from 1 species